AUUGAACGCUGGCGGCAUGCCUUACACAUACAAGUCGAACGGUAACGCGGGGCAACCUGGCGACGAGUGGCGAACGGGUGAGUAAUGCAUCGGAACGUGCCCAGUAGUGGGGGAUAACUGCUCGAAAGAGCAGCUAAUACCGCAUACGACCCGAGGGUGAAAGCGGGGGACCGCAAGACCUCGCGCUAUUGGAGCGGCCGAUGUCAGAUUAGGUAGUUGGUGGGGUAAAGGCCCACCAAGCCAACGAUCUGUAGCUGGUCUGAGAGGACGACCAGCCACACUGGGACUGAGACACGGCCCAGACUCCUACGGGAGGCAGCAGUGGGGAAUUUUGGACAAUGGACGCAAGUCUGAUCCAGCCAUGCCGCGUGCGGGAAGAAGGCCUUCGGGUUGUAAACCGCUUUUGUCAGGGAAGAAACGCUCUGGGUUAAUACCUCGGGGUAAUGACGGUACCUGAAGAAUAAGCACCGGCUAACUACGUGCCAGCCGCCGCCGUAAAAC
rnacentral:rRNA from 1 species